rnacentral:tRNA from 2 species
CGGAUAGAAGCUCGCUGGAUUGAGUGUUUAGCUGUUAACUAAGUUUUCGCGGGAUCGAGGCCCGCCUAUCUAG